UNCUGUUCUACAGGUUGUCUAUGAAAAUAAG
rnacentral:piRNA from 1 species